GACGAACGCUGGUGGCGUGCUUAACACAUGCAAGUCGAACGGGAUUUAGUAAACAGAAGCCUCGGUGGAAGAUUACUAAUGAGAGUGGCGAACGGGUGAGUAACGCGUGAGCAACCUGCCUAUGACAGUGGGAUAGCCUCGGGAAACCGGGAUUAAUACCGCAUAAAAUCGUAGAAACACAUGUUUUAACGUUCAAAGAUUUAUCGGUCAUAGAUGGGCUCGCGUCUGAUUAGCUAGUUGGUGAGAUAACAGCCCACCAAGGCGACGAUCAGUAGCCGGUCUGAGAGGAUGAACGGCCACAUUGGAACUGAGACACGGUCCAAACUCCUACGGGAAGCAGCAGUGGGGAAUAUUGCACAAUGGGGGAAACCCUGAUGCAGCGACGCCGCGUGAACGAAGAAGGUAUUCGUAUCGUAAAGUUCUGUCCUAUGGGAAGAUAAUGACAGUACCAUAGAAGAAAGCUCCGGCUAAAUACGUG
rnacentral:rRNA from 1 species